rnacentral:rRNA from 1 species
GACGAACGCUGGCGGCGUGCUUAACACAUGCAAGUCGAACGGAAAGGUCCUGCUUUUGUGGGGUGCUCGAGUGGCGACCGGGUGAGUAACACGUGAGUAACCUGUCCUUGACUUUGGGAUAACCUCAGGAAACUGGGGCUAAUACGGGCUAGGAGUUCCUGCUUCAUGGUGGGGGUUGGAAAGUUUCGGCGGUUGGGGAUGGACUCGCGGCUUAUCAGCUUGUUGGUGGGGUAGUGGCUUACCAAGGCUUUGACGGGUAGCCGGCCUGAGAGGAUGACCGGCCACAUUGGGACUGAGAUGCGGCCCAGACUCCUACGGGAGGCAGCAGUGGAGAAUAUUGCACUAUGGGCGGAGGCCUAAUGCAGCAACGCCGCGUGCGGGAUGACGGCCUUCGGGUUGUAAACCGCUUUCGCCUGUGACGAGGCGUGAGUGACGGUAAUGGGUAAAGAAGCACCGGCUAACUACGUG